UACGUAGGGUGCGAGCGUUAAUCGGAAUUACUGGGCGUAAAGCGUGCGCAGGCGGCGCGUUAAGACAGGUGUGAAAGCCCCGAGCUUAACUUGGGAAUUGCGCUUGUGACUGGCGGGCUGGAGUGUGGCAGAGGGAGGUGGAAUUCCACGUGUAGCAGUGAAAUGCGUAGAGAUGUGGAGGAACACCGAUGGCGAAGGCAGCCUCCUGGGCCAGCACUAACGCUCAUGCACGAAAGCGUGGGGAGCAAACAGG
rnacentral:rRNA from 1 species